AUGGCUCCUCCGCCUCGUCGCCGCCGGCGCCUCCUCCUCCUGCCCCCGCUCCUCCUCGCCGUCGCCGCGCUGUGGGGAGCGCCGCCGGCCGCGGGCGCCGCGGAGUCGUGCAGGGCGUGGCUGGUGCAGUCCAUCCCCACCGACAUGCCCCACCUCCGCCGCGUCCCGGGGGUCCUCGCCACAGCGGACGUGCUCCAGUGGCUCUCGGGGAACACGACGGAGAGCCUUGACAUCCUUGCGCAAUACUGGCAGUUCAUAGCACACCCGAAGAACCCGAAAUCAGGGGAGUACGGGUUCUCCGAGAGCGAGAUGGCGAAGUUUGGGGCUGACGAGGGGCGCCGGGUUUACAAGGCACUGGAGAAAGCGGCAGAUCGUAAGGUCAAAAUCAGGAUCGCGCAGCACGCCGGAUUUGCUCCUGAUUUCGACCAAGAGAGUGCUAACCUCGCUGCAGGAAGGCCAAAUGUUCAGAAUGUAACCGUACUUUUUGAGGAUUGGUGGGGAUCCGGCGUUCUGCAUGCAAAAGUCUGGAUAUCCGACAAAAAGGAUGUGUAUAUUGGAUCUGCAAACAAUGAUUGGAAGUCCCUUACCCAGGUGAAGGAGCUGGGGAUUUAUUUCGUUGGUUGUCCACAGAUAGCAAAAACUGUUGAGGUGUAUUUUCAAAAUCUUUGGACACUUUCAACACUCAAUUCAACUACUUACACCAAAAUUGCCUGGGAUAAGAAGUGGCAGACUUUUAGAAAGGUGCCAUGCUGGUCACAUUUCCUACAACCUGAACAAAGAUGCAGGUCACCUCUGCCACUUUCUGUCGAUGUCCCGUAUGUUGACGGCUAUCCAUCACUUGCCAAUCCUGAACUGCUUGAUGUUUUAAUUGAAACCCCUGGGCUCAAGAGAUCCACUAAAGAACACCACUUGAGCUAUCUUUCGUUUGCUCCACCUGAGCUGUUGUUUGAUAAGUUCCAGGCAGAUGAGCAAGGUUGGGUCGACACCAUCAAAUCUGUCAAUUCUGGGGGAAUGGUGAGGAUAAGUACUAUGGACUGGCUUGGACAAUCACAGUAUGCUUCUGAAACUGUGUUCUGGCCAUCUUUGUCAUCAGCGAUAUCAGAGGUAAUAUUCUCCAAGAAUGCAACCGUGAGGCUGCUCGUAGCCUACUGGACACACUUCAUCCCGAGCACCGAGAAGUACUUGAAGAGCCUCCUGUACUCAAACAUCCUCUGCGCAUCCUCCAAAUACAACCACUGCGGCGGCAAGGUCGAGGUCAAGUACUACUUGGUUCCCGGGUACAACGAGACCGGACCUGCCUUGGCUCACGGCGCCCCGACAGGGAACCGUUACCCCGACUUCACCCGGGUGAACCAUGGCAAGUACGCCGUCAGCGAUGUGAGGGCGAACAUCGGCACCAGCAACCUCAUCUGGGACUACUUCUACACAACGGCUGGAGUGAGCUUCGGAACGUACGACCCCUCCAUCGUCUCGCAGCUGCAAGACGUCUUCGAUGCGGAUUGGGAUUCUCCCUACACUAUGCCCGUUAAACCUCUGGAGGCGUCCAGGUGA
rnacentral:rRNA from 1 species